AUUGAACGCUGGCGGCAUGCCUUACACAUGCAAGUCGAACGGUAACAGGUCUUCGGAUGCUGACGAGUGGCGAACGGGUGAGUAAUACAUCGGAACGUGCCUAGUAGUGGGGGAUAACUACUCGAAAGAGUGGCUAAUACCGCAUGAGAUCUACGGAUGAAAGCAGGGGAUCGCAAGACCUUGUGCUACUAGAGCGGCCGAUGGCAGAUUAGGUAGUUGGUGGGAUAAAAGCUUACCAAGCCGACGAUCUGUAGCUGGUCUGAGAGGACGAUCAGCCACACUGGGACUGAGACACGGCCCAGACUCCUACGGGAGGCAGCAGUGGGGAAUUUUGGACAAUGGGCGAAAGCCUGAUCCAGCAAUGCCGCGUGCAGGGUGAAGGCCUUCGGGUUGUAAACUGCUUUUGUACGGAACGAAACGGCUCUUUCUAAUAAAGAGGGCUAAUGACGGUACCGUAAGAAUAAGCACCGGCUAACUACGUGCCAGCCGCCGCGGUAA
rnacentral:rRNA from 1 species